rnacentral:lncRNA from 1 species
UUACAUUCGUUUGAUUAUUUGAUACUAAAAUGUACUCAUUAUACUUAUGCUUUGAUUCAGGUUGUAUUUUGAUAGAAAAUGUGAAAUUUAGAAGAAAAGAGUGAGAAAUGACCAAAAUGGAAGAAAGUGAAAGUUCAGGGACCAAGUUGUAAACAAUCUAAAGAUGAGACCGGCGAUGGAAUGAUGAUUCGAGAAAGCUAGGAGUCCAUUGAAUGCAAUUAGAAGUCAAAAGAAGUUAAAUAUGACCAUAAUAUUUUCACAAAUCAAAUUACAAUCGCAUAAGGAUUUUUCAGAUUUUCAGCCAGAAAUUGAGAUCAACUUUUGACCUAGUAAACGUUCGAAUUUGGAAAGAG